rnacentral:rRNA from 1 species
UGGCGGCGUGCCUAACACAUGCAAGUCGAACGAGAAAGGGGAGCAAUCCCUGGAGUAAAGUGGCGACCGGGUGAGUAACACGUGAUCAACCUGCCCUCGAGUGGGGAAUAACCCCGGGAAACCGGGGUUAAUACCGCAUAACAUCCCCGAUGCGGAAGCGUUGGGGAUCAAAGGAGCAAUUCGCUUGAGGAGGGGGUCGCGGCUGAUUAGCUAGUUGGCGGGGUAACGGCCCACCAAGGCUGAGAUCGGUAGCCGGCCUGAGAGGGCGCACGGCCACACUGGAACUGAAACACGGUCCAGACUCCUACGGGAGGCAGCAGUGGGGAAUUUUGCGCAAUGGGGGAAACCCUGACGCAGCAACGCCGCGUGGAGGAUGAAGUCCCUUGGGAUGUAAACUCCUUUCGACCGGGAAGAUAAUGACGGUACCGGAAGAAGAAGCACCGGCUAACUCUGUGCCAGCAGCCGCGGUAAUACAGAGGGUGCGAGCGUUGUUCGGAAUUAUUGGGCGUAAAGGGCGCGUAGGCGGUGCGGUAAG